rnacentral:rRNA from 1 species
GACGUAGGGGGCCAGCGUUGUUCGGAAUUACUGGGUGUAAAGGGUUCGUAGGCGGUGUGGCAAGUCGGGAGUGAAAUCUCUGGCUCAACCCAGAGACUGCUUCCGAAACUGCUGUGCUUGAGUGUGAGAGAGGCUCGUGGAAUUGCAGGUGUAGCGGUGAAAUGCGUAGAUAUCUGCAGGAACACCCGUGGCGAAGGCGAGUCCCUGGACAACACCUGACACUGAGGCACGAAAGCUAGGGGAGCAAACAGG